rnacentral:ncRNA from 1 species
CGGCCUCGGAUCGAGCGAGAUUACCCGCUGAACUUAAGCAUAUCACUAAGCGGAGGAAAAGAAACCAACCGGGAUUCCCUCAGAGCGGCGAGCGAAGCGGAAAAGG